AGCGAACGCUGGCGGCAGGCCUAACACAUGCAAGUCGAGCGAACUCUUCGGAGUUAGUGGCGGACGGGUGAGUAACACGUGGGAACGUGCCUUUAGGUUCGGAAUAACUCAGGGAAACUUGUGCUAAUACCGAAUGUGCCCCCCGAUUCAUUUUGGGGUGGGAAAGAUUUAUCGCCUUUAGAGCGGCCCGCGUCUGAUUAGCUAGUUGGUGAGGUAAAGGCUCACCAAGGCGACGAUCAGUAGCUGGUCUGAGAGGAUGAUCAGCCACAUUGGGACUGAGACACGGCCCAAACUCCUACGGGAGGCAGCAGUGGGGAAUCUUGCGCAAUGGGCGAAAGCCUGACGCAGCCAUGCCGCGUGAAUGAUGAAGGUCUUAGGAUUGUAAAAUUCUUUCACCGGGGACGAUAAUGACGGUACCCGGAGAAGAAGCCCCGGCUAACUUCGUGCCAGCAGCCGCGGUAAUACGAAGGGGGCUAGCGUUGCUCGGAAUUACUGGGCGUAAAGGGAGCGUAGGCGGACAUUUAAGUCAGGGGUGAAAUCCCGGGGCUCAACCUCGGAAUUGCCUUUGAUACUGGGUGUCUUGAGUAUGAGAGAGGUGUGUGGAACUCCGAGUGUAGAGGUGAAAUUCGUAGAUAUUCGGAAGAACACCAGUGGCGAAGGCGACACACUGGCUCAUUACUGACGCUGAGGCUCGAAAGCGUGGGGAGCAAACAGG
rnacentral:rRNA from 1 species